UACGUAGGUGGCAAGCGUUGUCCGGAUUUAUUGGGUCUAAAGGGUGCGUAGGCGGUCUUAUAAGUCAGUGCUGAAAUAUCCCGGCUUAACCGGGAGGGUGGCAUUGAUACUGUAGGACUUGAGUAAAGUUGAGGUUGGCGGAAUUGACGGUGUAGCGGUGAAAUGCUUAGAUAUCGUCAAGAACACCUAUAGCGAAGGCAGCUAGCUAAGCUUUAACUGACGCUGAGGCACGAAAGUGUGGGGAUCAAACAGG
rnacentral:rRNA from 1 species